rnacentral:rRNA from 1 species
CAGCAGUGGGGAAUAUUGGACAAUGGGCGAAAGCCUGAUCCAGCAAUGCCGCGUGGGUGAAGAAGGCCUGCGGGUUGUAAAGCCCUUUCGGUAGGGAAGAAAAGCGUACGGUUAAUACCCGUGCGUCUUGACGUUACCUACAGAAGAAGCACCGGCUAACUCCGUG